rnacentral:rRNA from 1 species
AACGAACGCUGGCGGCAGGCCUAACACAUGCAAGUCGAACGCUGCAGCAAUGCAGAGUGGCAGACGGGUGAGUAACACGUGGGAAUCUUCCUAUCGGUACGGAAUAGCUCAGGGAAACUUGGGGUAAUACCGUAUACGCCCUUUGGGGGAAAGAUUUAUCGCCGAUAGAUGAGCCCGCGUCUGAUUAGCUAGUUGGUGAGGUAAUGGCUCACCAAGGCGACGAUCAGUAGCUGGUCUGAGAGGAUGAUCAGCCACACUGGGACUGAGACACGGCCCAGACUCCUACGGGAGGCAGCAGUGGGGAAUAUUGGACAAUGGGCGCAAGCCUGAUCCAGCCAUGCCGCGUGAGUGACGAAGGUCUUCGGAUUGUAAAGCUCUUUUGGCGGGGACGAUAAUGACGGUACCCGCAGAAUAAGCCCCGGCUAACUUCGUGCCAGCCGCCGCGGUAACAC